rnacentral:rRNA from 1 species
UACAGAGGGUGCGAGCGUUGUCCGGAAUUAUUGGGCGUAAAGAGCUCGUAGGCGGGGUGUCGCGUCGGCCGGGAAAACCUGCAGCUUAACUGUGGGCUUGCGGUCGAUACGGGCAUCACUGGAGUUCGGCAGGGGAGACUGGAAUUCCACGUGUAGCGGUGAAAUGCGCAGAUAUCAGGAGGAACACCGGUGGCGAAGGCGGGUCUCUGGGCCGAUACUGACGCUGAGGAGCGAAAGCGUGGGGAGCGAACAGG